rnacentral:rRNA from 1 species
CCCUUAGAUGUCCUGGGCCGCACGCGCGUUACACUGAUGCAUUCAACGAGCUUAUAACCUUGGCCGAGAGGCCUGGGCAAUCUUGUUAACGUGCAUCGUGAUAGGGAUAGAUUAUUGAAAUUAUUAAUCUUGAACGAGGAAUUCCUAGUAAACGCAGAUCAUCAAUCUGCAUUGAUUACGUCCCUGCCCUUUGUACACACCGCCCGUCGCUACUACCGAUUGAAUGGCUUAGUGAGGCUUCCGGAUUGGUUUAGAGAAGGGGGCAACUCCAUCUUGGAACCGAGAAGCUAGUCAAACUUGGUCAUUUAGAGGAAGUAAAAGUCGUAACA